rnacentral:rRNA from 1 species
AACGAACGCUGGCGGCAUGCCUAACACAUGCAAGUCGAACGAAACGUCCGGGUCUUGUGGCGCACGGGUGCGGAAGGCGUGGGAAGCUGCCCAUAGGUUCGGAAUAACUCCCCGAAAGGGGUGCUAAUACCGGAUAAUGUCUUAGGACCAAAGAUUUAUGGCCUCUGGAUGGGCCCGCGUUGGAUUCGCUGGUUGGUAGGGUAAAAGCCUACUAAGGGGGGGAUUCAUAGCUGGUUAGAGAGGAUGCUCAGCCACACUAGGACUGAGACACGGCCGAGACUCGGACGCGAGGGAGGAGUGGGGAAUAUAGGACAAGGGGGGAAGGCCUGAUCCAGCCAGGCGGCGUAAGUGAUGAAGGCCGUAGGGUAGUAAUGCUCUUUUAACCGGGCUGAUAAUGACGGUACCGGGUGAAUAAGCUCCGGCUAACUCCGUG